rnacentral:rRNA from 1 species
UACAGAGGUCUCAAGCGUUGUUCGGAUUCAUUGGGCGUAAAGGGCGUGUAGGCGGUUUGUUAAGUCAUGUGUGAAAUCCCUCGGCUCAACCGGGGAACGACGCAUGAAACUGGCAAGCUAGAGUACCAAAGAGGGGGGUGGAAUUCCCGGGUGGUAGCGGUGAAAUGCGUAGAUAAUCGGGAGGAACACCUGUGGCGGAAGGCG